AAUAGAUACCCGGGUAGUCCAUGCCGUAAACGUUGGGCACUAGGUGUGGGGGACAUUCCACGUUUUCCGCGCCGUAGCUAACGCAUUAAGUGCCCCGCCUGGGGAGUACGGCCGCAAGGCUAAAACUCAAAGGAAUUGACGGGGGCCCGCACAAGCGGCGGAGCAUGCGGAUUAAUUCGAUGCAACGCGAAGAACCUUACCAAGGCUUGACAUGGACCGGAUCGCCGCAGAAAUGUGGUUUCUCCUUUUGGGGCCGGUUCACAGGUGGUGCAUGGUUGUCGUCAGCUCGUGUCGUGAGAUGUUGGGUUAAGUCCCGCAACGAGCGCAACCCUCGUUCCAUGUUGCCAGCGCGUAAUGGCGGGGACUCAUGGGAGACUGCCGGGGUCAACUCGGAGGAAGGUGGGGACGACGUCAAAUCAUCAUGCCCCUUAUGUCUUGGGCUUCACGCAUGCUACAAUGGCCGGUACAAAGGGUUGCGAUACUGUGAGGUGGAGCUAAUCCCAAAAAGCCGGUCUCAGUUCGGAUUGGGGUCUGCAACUCGCCUAC
rnacentral:rRNA from 1 species